rnacentral:rRNA from 1 species
UACUUAUCAAUGGCGGGGGAGGGCCAGAGAGAGUGAAGUGCAUGAGCAAGGCCAGAGCGACUGCACACCCCAGCGAGCGUACACCCGGCGCAAACAGUCGCCGACACGGGCCUCUUCGCAGAGCACAUGCACAAAACGACAGUUUUAUAGUACGGUGGCGGUCAUUAAAGCGGUGGGGCGGCUCCCGUAAACACGUUUAAACGCACGCACAGGCACUCACCGCAGCACACCCACCAACUUAAACCGCAUUCUCACCCCUCCCGGGGGCUAACCCAUCCUUGGGAUCGGGUAAGAGGGGCGGCGCGGGGAGAGGGGAAGAGAUGGCGGCGGCGGCGGCGGUCGCGUCCGGCGCCUGUGCUGCUCCUCCGCCGGCCGUAGUGGCGCGCGGCGGGCCGGUUCCAGAAGAGGGCGCACGCGGUGGAGGAGCGGUUUGGAAAGGGGAUGCGCGCCGGGAGCGGCUGAACGAGAAGGAGCCGCCCCUCGUCGUCAUCGUCCGCCUCCGCGACACGAGCGCCUCCCCGACGUCUAGGGGCGGCUCGUCCGGCGCGACCACGAGCGGCGGCACGAGGGGCCGCUGCUGCUGCUUGGGCGUUGCCUUCCUCGACCGCGGAGGGGCGGGGGUAGAUAGGUGAGGCAGGUCCUCUGCUCUCCUUCCUCUUCGGUACGGGGCAGGUGACGCAGCACGCGCUGCUGGCCGACCCGAGACAAAGUCGUGGGGUUACGAACAGCCGCGAAGAAGCUGCUGGUGGGUCCGUGCGGUAGCGGAGAGAAGCUGGGGUUGCCUUCCCUGCUGAUUAAUUAGACAGGUCUAGGCUCCGUUCACUCCGGAACGAAGUGGGGAGAGGGGAAGUUCUUCCUACACGGGAAGGAGACGAGCAACAACGACGGCAGAAACUACAGAAGUCUGUAUACCAUCACUACAUGGUCAGUACCCACAGACCGAAACCAAAAGAAAGUCAAAAAGCCUACCCAAUGUUUUCGUACGUCUAUUACUCUCAACUUUAAGACUUAGAAACGCGGAAACCUAAUAUGAGACAAACGUUGUUCGACCCACGCUUCAUACGAAGACAAGGUCAACAGCUCGACUUCCUAGUGGGUCUAAAUACACUUCUAGAAGACUCUUUCUCGUUUACCGUAUAACGUGUUCUCGUACUCCACAAACGUGGUUAACGAAAGAAGUGUGGUGCCGGUACCGAAACGUGGAUAAGAUUGAGACCGUUCAUGGGCCACUAUAUACUUCGGUGGUCGAGAACACUACAUGGUAUAACAACCCUGGCCGUGGGAGCGCGGUUCCGCGCGACGGCUAGAUCAUUAGUGAUACUACUCGAGGCGAGGGCCGGGGAUCAAUGUGGUCGUCCCGAGCGGAGUAAGUCGGUCUGGUGCGAUGAUGCCCGUUGAGUAGAGUGAAACAGAGGGGUGCAAGUUGAGUUGGUUGGAACAACGGGGAAGAGGAGAGAUAGUAACCUUUUCAUAGUCCACGAGGGUUCAAAUCCUGUGUCGAGUUGUUCGGGAUUCUUGUUUUCCUGUGUGUUUUUGUGGCGGUGCCUGCUCAGGUUGGAUUAGUCCGAGGCCGCCGCCACCGCCUUCGCCCCCGCGGUACGCCUUCCGGUAGCUAGCUUCCAGCCACUCCUCCCACAGCUACUGCGAGGCCAGGACCCCCGCCGAUUCGCCGGCGGUUUCGACGUUUAUCGGUGUGUAAAACUUCUAGCGCAGCCCCUUCAACCAUAACGUGGUAACAGGCGGCUGGCAAAGUGCCUUCGUGCUGGUGUCCUUGAUCCGUCACCUCGUCAACUUCUUUUAUACCAAGCUUAGGAGUUGGCACCGCGUGUCCCCUGUGUAGGGCAGGGGUCCAGGUAAUGCGAACGCCUGAAGUUGGGCUCUCCCCUCUGCAAGGGCCCAGGUGACGAUCUCCUUUUAGGUCUAGAACUCCCCCUCCGCUUACAGGGUCUAGUCCGAUUUCCCGAGUCCCCGGCCGCUUCCCCGCUACCGCCGCAUGUCCCUGAAACACCUCUCACGGGGCUCCCGAGGUCCGCGGUGCGGUAACUCAGUAGCCGCGGGAGAUGUAGGUAGCCGUUCUCUCGCUACAGGACAUCUUCCCGCAGGGUGCGCAGUUGGAGGACCCCCGGUUUCCACGCGGAUUUCCGCUCUGCGGGAUUCAGUUAUUCCCGGCAGAGCUGCCUUUAGGACCCCAGUUGGCGUUACCGCUUAUUAGGGCCCUUCGCCCGCCGGUCUCCCCUCAGGAGUUCAGUCGCCAGCUUGGUUUUGUCCCAGCUCCUGGGCCUUGGGUGGCUCUAUCUUCACGGUUAAGCCGCGUGCCCCUCGUCGACU